GCCAGCGUGGUGGCACGUGCCUGUAGUCCCAGCUACUCCGGAGGCUGAGGUGGGAGGAUCGCUUGAGCCCAGGAAUUCUGGGCUAUAGUGCGCUAUGCUGAUCGGGUGUCCGCACUAAGUUCGACAUCAAUAUGGUGACCUCCCGGGAGCGGGGGACCACCAGGUUGCCUAAGGAGGGGUGAACUGGCCCAGGUCGGAAACGGAGCAGGUCAAAACUCCCAUGCUGAUCAGUAGUAGGAUGGCACCUGUGAAUAGCCACUACACUCCAGCCUGGGCAACAUAGCAAGACCCCAUCUCU
rnacentral:SRP_RNA from 1 species